rnacentral:rRNA from 1 species
AUUUACUUACACCAACCAGCGCCAGGGAAUUACGAGCAAUGCUUAAAACCCAAAGGAUUUGACGGUGUCCCACCCACCUAGAGGAGCCUGUUUUAUAAUCGAUGAUCCCCGCUAUACCCAACCACUUCUAGCUCUUCAGUCUGUAUACCUCCGUCGAAAGUCUACCAUGUGAACGUUCCCAGUAGGCCCAAUGACCAUUCCUCCAUACGUCAGGUCAAGGUGCAGCUAACGAAGUGGUAAAUAAUGGGCUACAAUUUCUAAAAUAGAACAAACGAAAGACUAUGUGAAACCAUAGUCACGAAGGCGGAUUUAGUAGUAAAAAGAAAAUAGAGAGUUCUUUUUAACCUGGCUCUGGGACGCGUACACACCGCCCGUCACCCUCUUCAACAAAACCCCU